rnacentral:rRNA from 1 species
UACGGGGGGGGCAAGCGUUGUUCGGAUUUAUUGGGCGUAAAGAGCGUGUAGGCGGCUUGACAGGUCUGCUGUGAAAACUCGAGGCUCAACCUCGAGAUGUCGGCGGAAACCGUCUGGCUAGAGUUCGGAAGAGGAGAGUGGAAUUCCCGGUGUAGCGGUGAAAUGCGCAGAUAUCGGGAAGAACACCCGUGGCGAAGGCGGCUCUCUGGGACGGUACUGACGCUGAGACGCGAAAGCGUGGGGAGCGAACAGG